UACAGAGGUGGCAAGCGUUGUUCGGAAUUACUGGGCGUAAAGGGCGCGUAGGCGGCCAUCUAAGUCAGACGUGAAAUCCCCCGGCUUAACCUGGGAACUGCGUCUGAUACUGGACGGCUUGAGUAUGGGAGAGGGAUGUGGAAUUCCGGGUGUAGUGGUGAAAUGCGUAGAGAUCCGGAGGAACCCCAGAGGCGAAGGCGGCAUCCUGGCCCACGACUGACACUCAGACACGACAGCAUGGGGAGCGAACGGG
rnacentral:rRNA from 1 species